GUUACAGUGUUGAAAAUGUGGAGAAUCGCAGUUGUUCUCCUGAGUCUUCUGUCUCUGGGACAGUGUGCCCCAUUGGACAACUGCGAGACACUGUUGAAACCAAUUCCUAUCAGCCAUGGUGAUAUGUUGGGGAGGUGGCUGUACAUUGGUGGGACGUCCGAUCUCCCCGGGAGCCGGUCCUUAGCCCACUUGUUGACAAGUGCCUGGAUUGAGAGCCGACCAACAUCUCAGAGUAACAUACUCGAGCUGAUCCAAGCUCAGAGAAUAUAUGGAAAAUGCUACACCCUAAAGUAUAAUGUGACUUUUGAAAACAGCAUACUUCUUAUUGAAAGUCCAUUUUAUUUAAAAGAAGUGUAUUUUUCAACUGAAUGCUCUGAUUGUUUGGUUAUCUACGAAACUGUUACCUCUGGGGAUGACUCUUUCAAAAGUCUGCUCUUGUUCAGCAAAAGUAGAACAGUGUCACCUGCUGCUGUGGAGAUGGUAAAGAAACAAGCCGAGUGUCUGCAGAUGCCCUCACUUCUAAUGGUCGACCCGAAUGAUGAACUGUGCCAAGAGGACCCAUCUCCUCUGGAAGGGUUGGCAGCUCUCAACAAAUAUCUGGAGGCCAAAUCCGGACAUUAUGUUGCAAAAUUCCUGGAUGCUAUUUUUGACUUUUUUAUCAACUAACUGUUUACUUGUGCUUAGGUUUCCCCAGUGCAUAGUACAUUCAUUAAAUAAAUAAAAACAGUUGUAUCUAUCUAAAAUUGAGUGAUAAGAACUGUAAUGAGGCAUCUGUAAGUACAUUUUACUUUACUACAUUUGAGAGCAGUAUCUGUACUUUUAACUACUAAUUUUUUAACUGGACUGAAAAGUAAAAGUAUUUUUUAUUACUGUUAUUAUGUCUGAGGGAUUUAUUUUUACCACUUUUGUAGUUUGAGCAAAUAAAAAUAUACAAAUAAAAACAGCUAGAAAAAAACCCAAAACAUUAAUUCAAUUGUUUCUGUUGAACAAUAGUCAACACAAUCUAUCAAAAUCACUACAUUUUAAGCUUUAUAAGAUCUUUUGUCUCAUGGCAUGUCAAAUCUAUGCAAAAAAAAAUACUUUUUAAUCUUUAAGUACAUUUUUAAACAUGUACUUUAAUACUUAAGUGGCUUUUUCAUGUGAACAUUGUGAGCAGGGCACAUUCUGACCUGUAACUUCACCUUGAUUUUUCCACCUUGUCUCCACUGAGAUGUUAAAUUUAAUGCGACCGUAGGCCUCAAGUUCUUUUCAUGUGUUUGUAUUUGUUGUGUUUAGUGUGUGUCUGCUUCUGUUCCUCUUUCCCCCAUGUGAUCCUGGCUGUGUGAGCUCUUUCCGGUGAGUGGAGGACGGUUUCUCCGCUUGGCCAGUCCUGUGUUUCACCUGCAGCCGCCUCCCCCCAUUUAAGAGGAUUCACCUGUUUGGGCCAGUCUGUCGUUCUGUGUGUGUCUCAUUUAGUUCGGCACUUGUCCCUUUGUCUAAGUUUGCGUGAGACACUAGUUUAGUUUUGUUCUUGUGUGUCUUUUUAUUUUGUCACUCGAUUCUGUUUGCAGGUUUAUGUGACUCGUGGUUUGUUUUUAUGUCAUGUGUCCUUUAGUUUUGUCACUCGUUUUUAAAAGGCCACGUGACCAGUUUUCAGACACACAAAAGUUGUAAUUUGCUGGACUUGUUAUUUUUUGGUUUCUUAGUUUAAGUUCUUUUAAUUUUAUACAUUUACAUAUUUUUAUUUACGUUUUAAAAAUUUGAAUGACAUUAAACUACGAUUUAACGAUUUUUUUCCACCUUGGUUUUUGCAGCAGUAAUAAUGUGAUAGGUUUGUAUUGGGCAAGGUUUUUUUGGGGUUUUUUUUGUUUUUUGUUAACUGUCUUGUUUUUGAAAAUGUGUAAUGGUGUUUGGAGAUUGUGUGGUGGAUUAUUGCCUGUAGCUGAUGUCUGUGUUUUUGAUUGUACAGCAGGUGGGGGAUGGUGAACGGCCUGAUCAACCACACAUCCUGCCCCAUCGCAAGUUCCUCUUCUCUUGCCUCCCAGGUUCCCCAGCUCCAGGGAAGGGGCUCAGUUCCAAGCCUGGCCAGUCUCAAGGAGCCUGAGGUUAAGGACGUCCACCCCAAACCACCUCUGGCUCUGUUUUAACAUGUCUUCUACCUCCUAAUCUUUCAUUACCAAUGUAAGUAUAAAAUCAUCAUUUGAAUUCGCAUCUUAAGGGGGGGGCCUUACGUUCUUUUCAUUUGUUAGUGUUUGAGACAGUUGUUAGUGUUUGAGACAGUUGCUACUAAUAACUGAACACUAAGACGCAGAACUUUACAUAAUCUUCAGUUCAGCUCAGAUGGGGACACUGGGGUGUAGUUUUUGUUUUGUGAGUGAAUGUUACUGUUAAUGUUUGUUCAUUCUGUCCAGAACAAUUCACCUAAGCUUUUUACCUGUGGCUCGAGUAAUUCUUUUUUUUUUUUUGCUCUAGCUUUUGCCUUUUUUCCCUGGUCGAUCUUAUAAAAAUCGCUAAUUUAGUUGCUAAUUUAAUCAGUUACACAGCGAUUAUCUUAUUCGAUCCUGUACCUGGUUAGUUUUUUGGUUUAGGUUCUUCUUUUUUUAUACAGUUAUGCAAAUAUUCUAAUGUACUUUUGUUACUUUGCCUUUUACAACUCUGUACAUUAAAUUACUUGUUGUUUAACCUUUUUUCCAUCUUGGUUUUUGUUACCUCCCUGACUCUAGACAAGCUGGGUGGUAACAACUCGGGGGCUCGUCUUUGCCUGGAAAGUCCUGCCAUGAGCUUAUGUGGCAAAACCCUAGAAAAAGACGUUUUUAUGUAACGGACUGAGCUGUUUGUCUGGUUUGAGCUGUUUCUCCCUGUAAGGCCUCAUUUUAAAAAAGCUAAUAAUCAGACCUGAGCUGAUCGUGUUUGUACAGCCGCUCGGUCAGUGACCACAGAAACACAAUACUUAAGUUUAGUUAUUAAAUAUACUGCACUGAGCAUUCUAUGAAGAGUUUCUGUUGGAGUUUUAAUGUAAAGAUGAGAUGUGCUCAAACCAAAACAUUACAAUGAUUUGUGUUUUAAAUAAAAUCUGAUACUUUUGGUGCCACAAAUGCACUUUAAUAAACAUUUAUAAUCACACCUGCUCCUGUUUUUUUUUUUUUUUUCCCCCUAGUUAGUUUUUUGUAUUGUAUUUGAACAGGGCGCUCAUCAAAAGGAGAGUCUGGGAGCUCUCACUGGGUUCUCCCUGUUUAAAGAAAAAAAAAGGCCAAAUCAUGUGAAAAGUAAAAAGAACUUUUCAUAUGAUUUGAGGGGUUAUUUUUACCAUGUUUGUGGAAACAUCCUGACUAAAGUUUGAGUUCAAGCUUCAGCUUUGAGAAAUAUUCAUAAGAAAACUUUAGAAAUUGCUUCAUAUUGCAACUGUUGUCCAGAAUAUGUAUAAUUUUAAAAUUUUUGAAUCAAUAUCACGACAUUGAAAACUUUAAACAAAUUAACAGCACUUGUGUGAAAUACUUUUUACUCUUCAAGUAGUUUUAAACGGGUACUUAAAUAUUUGAGUAGAUUUGUUUUUAGUGUGAUCAUUUUGCUUCUGUACCUGUACUUUUACUUAAGUACUUCAUCAACUGCUGGAUAUAUAUUAUGGUUAGAUAAGCCACAUGUGUUUCGUUACUGAACCUGGUCCAUAACUAAUGCUGGAUGAGUGUCAAAGUCUUCUCCAUUGUUGACAGUGUAUAUCACAUGACAGAAAAAGGUCCACAUAAAAGGAUCAGGAGGCUGGUUAAAGCCUGUUACAGUGUUGAAAAUGUGGAGAAUCGCAGUUGUUCUCCUGAGUCUUCUGUCUCUGGGACAGUGUGCCCCAUUGGACAACUGUGAGACACUGUUGAAACCAAUUCCUAUCAGCCAUGGUGAUAUGUUGGGGAGGUGGCUGUACAUUGGUGGGACGUCCGAUCUCCCCGGGAGCUACUUGAAUACAAGCUCCUGGGUUGACAUUCGACCAACAUCUCAGAGUAACAUACUUGAACUGAUCCGAGCUCAUAGAAU